GUGUAAAUACGUAAAGAAAUGGAUGUGUGUUGCAUGGUUUUAUUUUUAGCAUUUGUUAAAAUAAACAACUAAAAAAUAAAAAUGCCAUAAAAACGUUUUCAACCAUUUAUUUUCUUAAAAAUUUGCAUCCAAGCUAAAAACAAAAUCUCUUAUGCAUCAAUUUUAUUUUUUUGUUAAAUACUAUGUUUAGUAUAAAACAAACAAAAAAAAUUAUUUUGCAUGUUUUAGUAUUAUAAAAAAACAUGUUUUUGACAUUUGUUUUUUUUAAUGUAUUUUUAUUACAUGUAUUUUUGGAUUUGAUAAGAAGCUUAUCUAGUUUAUUAAAAUCUUGGUCCAAAUAAAAUGUCUUUUGAGCCAACGUACUAACCCC
rnacentral:lncRNA from 1 species